rnacentral:rRNA from 1 species
AACGAACGCUGGCGGCAGGCCUAACACAUGCAAGUCGAGCGAACCCUUCGGGGUUAGCGGCGGACGGGUUAGUAACGCGUGGGAAUAUACCCUUUGGUACGGAAUAGCCUCGGGAAACUGAGAGUAAUACCGUAUGUGCCCUUCGGGGGAAAGAUUUAUCGCCAAAGGAUUAGCCCGCGUUGGAUUAGAUAGUUGGUGGGGUAAUGGCCUACCAAGUCUACGAUCCAUAGCUGGUUUGAGAGGAUGAUCAGCAACACUGGGACUGAGACACGGCCCAGACUCCUACGGGAGGCAGCAGUGGGGAAUCUUAGACAAUGGGCGCAAGCCUGAUCCAGCCAUGCCGCGUGGACGAUGAAGGCCUUAGGGUUGUAAAGUCCUUUCAGAUGGGAAGAUAAUGACGGUACCAUCAGAAGAAGCCCCGGCUAACUCCGUGCCAGCAGCCGCGGUAAAGUCUGUACU